CUUCACCCCGAAGAAGCGGAUUAAAAGGGAAUCAGGUGUAAAUCCUGAACAGUUCCCGCUGCUGUAAGUUUCUACAAAGCAUUUCAGUUACCACAAUGCCACUGGACGGUUUGUCCGGGAAGGCCCUGAAAUGGAAACGAGUCAGAAGACCUGCCAUAUGUUUU
rnacentral:ncRNA from 1 species